GGAAACGGCUGCUAAUACCGCAUAACACAUAGGUGUCGCAUGGCAUUUAUGUCAAAGAUUUAUCGCUGAGAGAUGGCCUCGCGUCUGAUUAGCUAGUUGGUAGGGUAACGGCCUACCAAGGCGACGAUCAGUAGCCGGACUGAGAGGUUGGCCGGCCACAUUGGGACUGAGAUACGGCCCAGACUCCUACGGGAGGCAGCAGUGGGGAAUAUUGGGCAAUGGGCGCAAGCCUGACCCAGCAACGCCGCGUGAAGGAAGAAGGCUUUCGGGUUGUAAACUUCUUUUGUCAGGGAAGAGUAGAAGACGGUACCUGACGAAUAAGCCACGGCUAACUACGUGCCAGCAGCCGCGGUAAUACGUAGGUGGCAAGCGUUGUCCGGAUUUACUGGGUGUAAAGGGCGUGUAGCCGGGUUGACAAGUCAGAUGUGAAAUCCUGCGGCUUAACCGCAGAACUGCAUUUGAAACUGUUGAUCUUGAGUACUGGAGAGGCAGACGGAAUUCCUAGUGUAGCGGUGAAAUGCGUAGAUAUUAGGAGGAACACCAGUGGCGAAGGCGGCUUACUGGACAGUGACUGACGUUGAGGCUCGAAAGCGUGGGGAGCAAACAGGAUUANAUACCCUGGUAGUCCACGCCGUAAACGAUGGAUACUAGGUGU
rnacentral:rRNA from 1 species